CCUCAAGAUAACCAAUGAAUUUUUUCUUAGAUCCCUGUCGGCCACUGAAGAUAUCCUUUCCAUUUGGCUUUCAUUGAUAGGAUGAGUAAAACCCAGAGUCAAGUUAUUACGAAUGUCGUGGAAAUCGAUAGGAAGAAGUGCGAGGUUAGUGAAGGAGAUAAGCACGAGGGCAUUCCAUAGUAAAUGAACAUCGAAACCAGGUAUACGCCAACCCUGUUCACUAUCCACCACAUCAUUUACAGUUGCUUCCUCUUGCGUCUUGUUUGACUUUGUGUUUACUCGGCACUGAUCACUGACGACUUGUUAAACAAGCAACACUGUUUUGUGCUUAAAAACAGCUUCACAUCGCAUCACUUCAAUCUAAUCGAUGCUUAGUGUGGGAACUGCACGCAUUUUCAAUGUAGGAUUGGAGCAAUUGACGAAUGAAAUGAAUCUCCCUUGGAAGCUAGGAUGGUCUUAUGUUGUUUUCAAAGGUGAGACUGUUUGUCAGAUCUUAGAGAAACUAUGCUCCCUUAUGCAGUUCCAUUUUGGGUUCAAUCUUUAAGGCAAUACUAACAUUCCCCUCGCUGGAAUCCCAAAGGGGUAUAACUUUAAAUUCAUCAAUGUAUAAGUAUCGCACCAUGCACUGCUUUUAUCUUUAAACAAAUGUGCCGGUUUGAAUUGGCCCUUGAUUUCGGGAGCAUUUUGGCACUACAGUACAAUUCAUUCUACCACUACAGUGUAAUUUAUUUUAGCAUUACGAUAUAAUUUAUUUUAACACUUCAUUGCAUUGUAUUUUGUCGUGUUAGAGGUAAGAGCGAGUGUUCAAUUGAAUUGAGUCAAAUUAAGUAAAAAAAUUUU